rnacentral:misc_RNA from 1 species
AAAGUCGUAACAAGGUUUCCGUAGGUGAACCUGCGGAAGGAUCAUUACAGUGCCUGCGGGGCGUCGGCUAACCACCGGCGCCGCCGCAACUGGCCACCCGUGUCUACCUUACCUCUGUUGCUUUGGCGGGCCCGUCCCCAGUGGACCGCCGGGGGAGCGUGCGUACGCGCCCCGGGCCAGCGCCCGCCAAGGGACCCUCAGAACUCCUGUGAAGCAGUGCCGUCUGAGUCGAUAUAUAAUCGAAAUAAAACUUUCAACAACGGAUCUCUUGGUUCCG